UACGUAGGGUGCGAGCGUUGUCCGGAAUUACUGGGCGUAAAGAGCUCGUAGGCGGUUUGUCGCGUCUGCUGUGAAAACCCGAGGCUCAACCUCGGGCCUGCAGUGGGUACGGGGCAGACUAGAGUGCGGUAGGGGAGAAUGGAAUUCCUGGUGUAGCGGUGGAAUGCGCAGAUAUCAGGAGGAACACCGGUGGCGAAGGCGGGUCUCUGGGCCGAUACUGACGCUGAGGAGCGAAAGCGUGGGGAGCGAACAGG
rnacentral:rRNA from 1 species